CUGCUUCUCAGAUAUUCCUUCAGUACAUCUAGGGUUUGUAACUGGCCUUUAAUUCAGAGUAAACAGCCAUUUUUUAGGGAGAGCAAAGAGGAUGAAAGGAUCCGAGAUGAGGAGAAGGAAGCUGCCCUUCUGUCAUGGUAUAAAAAAGGAAGAAAUACAUGGUCCACUGGAGAGCUCAGUGAAUCCUGGGAACCUAUUGAGGUUGAUGUUUAACUGGACCUCAAGCCAUUCCUCUCACUGCCCAUCCUCCUAAGUAUGAUGUAUGGCCUGAAGAAAUAAUCAUGGUGGGAACACAGCUUUUCUGAUGUCUGGAAAUUUUUGGAUAAACUAAGGAUUUGGAAGUUCAUCAUUGGAAGUAGGUACAUAAUAUUUACAUUUUUAUAUUCAACGUUAGGUGGGACCCUUGGGUUGCCAAAAUCAUUGCAAAAAAACAUGAAAUUGGAAAACAGAAUUUUUCACUUCACAUUCAGGAAUAUAUAAAGUCACCUAUCAAGGAAUGUACAAUGAGAAACUGUAAUGAAAUAUGAAUUCAAUUAAAGGAUUGUAGGGAAAAUGCUGGCCUUUGGGAAACAGAGAUAACCUAGGAUAUUGAACUGUAUGUCAUAGUAAUGGACCUGGUAAUAAAAUUAUUAUCCAGAGGAAUCUCUUCCACUCCAUGUUCCGAGAUCUUUUCUACCCAUGCAAAGCUCCUGAUUAUCUUUUCCUUUCAGAGCAUGUAACCACUAAGGAAAUAAAGAGAAGUUUCUAGCUUUAAAGACAUGUAGUAUGAAAAGGUUUCCAUUGUUUCACAGGAGACAAACCUUGCAAGGGCACCCUCGAAUCUGGUCAUUGAAAGGAAAACACUUUAGCAGGUAGGCCAUGGCAAUUCUCAGUGACAUCACCAUUAGGCCUAUCUAAAAAAAUCUGUUGUAUCCUGGAGAUCCCUAGUUUCUUCUGUGAUGUAACAAGUGUUGUCCUGACAGAAGUUGCCUCUCCAUAGUCCUUCAGUACCUCUAGGGUUUACUAUUUGGCCUCUAAUUCAGCAUAAACAGCCUUUGGGAAGGAGAAAAAAGAGGAUGAAGUGAUCAAAGAUGGGAAGAAGGAAGCUGGCCUUCUGCUUUGUUAUAAAAAAAAAGAAAUAUGUGGUCCAUGGGAAAUCUCAGUCAUUUCUGGGUAGUGGUUGAGAAGGUUUGCUGAAAAGAUAGUAUUGAUUGG